rnacentral:lncRNA from 1 species
GUCUGUCUCCGAUUAAACCACGUGGAUCCGCCUUCCUUCCCCCUUUUUUUUAAAAAAAAAUCAACCCCCCCUUCGUUGUUAUUCCCCCUCCCACAUCAAUCUUGUAAAGAAAAAAUAAAGCACACUCAACUUUCACCUUCUUCCAAUAGUAAUUAGGAGCAAAUUACAGGCUGGGUGGGAAUAGCGAGUGAGCUAAAAUGAUUUUUACUUUUUUUUAAAGAAAGAAACAAUUUAAAAAAAAAUCUUUUUAAUGUUUUGGACUACUUCCUGUGAAGGGGGAAGGGGGGGAAACGGCUUCUUCUAGAGCCCACCCACUAGAUGCACUUAAAAUAUAAAUAUGAGCCGCCAGUACUUGCUACAGUACAAAACAGAAACACAUGUACGGGCAGGGAAGGAGGAAAAAAGAAGGAAAAAACGGGGGUGGAAGGAGGAGGGAGCAGCUAUCCAGCAGAGGCCAGCUGUACCAGUACAGCACCACCUUAAGGACUGGAUGACUACAAGCUCUUAAGAGCCCAACCAGCAAAUGCCAUGAUUUCAACCACAGAUGCCAUAAGGGUGCACCUGAAAAAGAAGGCUGUGAUGGAGGAUUUUUUGCUGCAGCAUCUGCAGAGAGAUCUAGAAAGGGGCCAAACUUGGCAAGGCCUGUAGACCUGCACAUGUAUGUGUGUGUGAAUCUUUUCUGCUCUGGUGGUGGGGUCUACCAUAUCCUUCAGACUGCUGUUUUCAGAUAUCCGUGCUACUCAAACAAAAUAGAGCAACAAGAUGAUCUUUGGUAAGUGACAAGACUUCUGACUGCAUCAAAAGAAGCAGCUCCUCACUUCCGAUUUCCUGUAAAUGCAAAUACAUCUCUGCUCGAAAGGAAAGGUGGUGGUGGUGGUGGGGGACCCUUUCCUGUUGCAUUUCAUUGGGGCCGCCAGAGGGUGCCCAACCCCUUCUACUUCCCAGAAGUGAAACUGUCAUUUUUUGAAUGAGCUGUCAUAUCUUCUAACCAAAACCAGCAAAUUGCAAACUUGUUGCUUUGACAUUGUAUUUCCUGAAGUUGAAGAAGCAAGCUAGGUCCAUAAAAAUUCAUGCCAAAUGAAACUUUUUUAGUCUUAAAUGUCACAUAAGACUUUAUCAUGGAUUAUGAGGCACAGGGGAAAGGUUUGACCAGGGAAGCCAAGACAUUAGAGGAAAGCUCAUUAUUAUUCUGAGGCAACAAAACAGACACAAAAUACCAUUUGUUUUGCCAAAAGUGAAACAAAGCAACCUAAAUGUUGCAAAAAGCUUUUGAAAGGAAAAACUUUCUCUUGCUUUUUGCAUCAGUGUCUAUUUUACUUCCCACCAACCUAGCAGUUCGAAAGCAUGCAAAUGCGAGUAGAUAAAUAGGGACCACCUCGGUGGGAAGGUAACAGCGUUCUGUGUCUAAGUUGCACUGGCCAUGUGACCACAGAAGAUUGUCUUCGGACAAACGCUGGCUCUAUGGCUUGGAAACUGGGAUGAGCACCAGCCCCUAGAGUCGAACACGACUGGACAAAUUGUCAACCUUUACCUUUAAAGUUACCUUUACCUAUUUCACUAGAAUACCUAGAUUACUAUCUGAGUCGCCAAUUUUUUCUUAGCUGCAGCACAAAAAUGUGUGCAGUUAAUGAAGGUUAAUGCGAUAAUUUAUUGCUAUUUUAUUUCUGGCCACCUUGGGUCCUUUUUAAGGAGAAAGGAAGGAUAGAUAUAUUUUAAAUAAAUAUUUUUUUUCAGCAUAAAUUCUAUGUAUU